rnacentral:rRNA from 1 species
UACGGAGGGGGCGAGCGUUAUUCGGAAUUAUUGGGCGUAAAGGGCGCGUAGGCGGCUUGAUAAGCGUGCGGUGAAAGCCCGGGGCUCAACCCCGGGUCGGCCGUGCGAACUGUCGAGCUGGAGCACUGUAGAGGCAGGUGGAAUUCCGGGUGUAGCGGUGGAAUGCGUAGAGAUCCGGAAGAACACCGGUGGCGAAGGCGGCCUGCUGGGCAGUGGCUGACGCUGAGGCGCGACAGCGUGGGGAGCAAACAGG